rnacentral:lncRNA from 1 species
AGCAAUCAGGAGCCCACCUGGAGAACAAGAGAAUACAACUCAAGUUUCAAGUAGUCAGGAGCCCACCUGGAAAACAAGGGAAUACAAUUCAAAUUUCAAGUAGUCAGGAGCCCGCCUGGAGAACGAAGGGAAGAAGCAAUUCAAAUUUCAAAUAAUCAGGAGCCCGCCUGGAGAACAGAGGAAAGGAAACAAUAGUCAAAGGAAGACAUUUAAAGGGGUUCAGCAGUCAGGUGCCCGCCUGGAGAAGAAGGGAAAGCAUUUCAAAGAAUACCAUUCAAGUCA